rnacentral:tRNA from 1 species
GCUAAGAUAGGUUAAUAUAAACCCCGAGACUCAUAACCUUGAAUUGCCUGAAUCAGGCUCUUAGUA